GCUGCGCGAUCAGAGUAAAAGCUCGUAUGACCAACUGCAAGCUUACGAUGACCGGGGAGAGUCGGAUACUUUGAGAGUAGUGUCUUAAGGGGGUGGUAUGUCCCAUCCAAGGCUAAAUAACGUGAGGAGACCGAUAGAUUACAAGUAGUGUGAACGAAAGAUGAAAAGAACUCUAAAACAGAGGGUGAAAAGUUCCUGAACUUGCUUAGGGUUAAGGCUAUUUAUAGUACCCGUCUUGAAACACGGAUUAGGGAGUUUAUCUGUAGUGCGAGUCUUUGCACGUUAACUGUAAAGGCGUAGAGAAAGCAACUGGCGUUUGCAUGGCUACUGAGCAUUACUGAUAGGACCCGAAAGGUGGUGAACUUUGCCUGCACAGGUUGAAGUCAGGGGAAACUCUGAUGGAGGACCGUACGGGUUAUUGAUGUGCAAAUCAUUUUUCUGAUGUAGGUAAAGGUGCGAAAGACUCAUCGAACCACCUAAUAGCUGGUUUCCUCCGAAGUUUCCCUCAGGAUAGCUGUAAUGCAUUUAGUUAAGGGGAGUAGAGAUAUGGGUAGAGGUGCAGGGAGCCUUCGGGUUCUCAACUUAUUUCCAAACUUCGAACCUCCUUGUUAGGCAUUUACCUAACUGGAAAUGCUUAAAUGAAUUAGCGUUACAAGUGGGCUCUGACCGGUAAGCGGUCAUGGCGAAAUGGGAUGAACCAUACGUCUGAAUAAGGUGCCGAAAUGUACUAUCACUGAUACCAUAAAGGGAGUCCAUGUAUUUAGACAGCAGGUCGGUGCCCCUAAAAGCAGGUAUCCGCUAAAGAGUGUGUUAAAACUCACCUGCCGAAUACUAGGGCCCCGAAAAUGAAUGGCGCAUAUAGUACUACCGAUCUCAGACAUCAGUUCUAUUGAACUGAGAGUAGGGGGAUGUGGACAUUUUUGUGAAGGUGCAAUGUGAGUUGGACUGGAAGAAUGUCUAUUACAGAUCCUAAUUGAAGUAGCGAUUAUCCAGGCUUGUAUCCUGGGGGCUGAUGAGGAGUAGGGUUUCUGGACAACUAAACA
rnacentral:ncRNA from 2 species